CUGCUCCAAUUAAUAGUUCCGGCAUGGAAAGCUUGUAAACAUGCUUAACCUCUUUUCGUCCGCCCUUUCUUUUUCCAAAUAGUCCGUCAAGAUAUGAUGGUCUGGAAACCCGACAACCUUGAAAGAUGUUUAUGUUGAACUGUUUACCUCACCAUGUGUGCAAAUCCUUUGUCUCAACAUUAAAUAUUAUUCAACGUGGUUGCACAUUUCAUUCAGCUAUCCCUGUUGGACGAUAAAGCCUGGUUCACA